rnacentral:rRNA from 1 species
UGAGGAAUAUUGGUCAAUGGGUGCAAGCCUGAACCAGCCAUCCCGCGUGAAGGACGACUGCCCUAUGGGUUGUAAACUUCUUUUGUAUAGGGAUAAACCUACCCUCGUGAGGGUAGCUGAAGGUACUAUACGAAUAAGCACCGGCUAACUCCGUGCCAGCAGCCGCGGUAAUACGGAGGGUGCAAGCGUUAUCCGGAUUUAUUGGGUUUAAAGGGCCCGUAGGCGGACUUAUAAGUCAGUGGUGAAAGCCUGUCGCUUAACGAUAGAACUGCCAUUGAUACUGUAAGUCUUGAGUAUAUUUGAGGUAGCUGGAAUAAGUAGUGUAGCGGUGAAAUGCAUAGAUAUUACUUAGAACACCAAUUGCGAAGGCAGGUUACCAAGAUAUAACUGACGCUGAGGGACGAAAGCGUGGGGAGCGAACA